UACGUAGGGUGCGAGCGUUAAUCGGAAUUACUGGGCGUAAAGCGUGCGCAGGCGGUUUUGUAAGCCAGAUGUGAAAUCCCCGGCUUAACCUGGGAAUGGCAUUUGGGACUGCAAGGCUCGAGUGCGGCAGAGGAGACUGGAAUUCCUGGUGUAGCAGUGAAAUGCGUAGAUAUCAGGAGGAACACCGAUGGCGAAGGCAGGUCUCUGGGCUGACACUGACGCUCAUGCACGAAAGCGUGGGGAGCAAACAGG
rnacentral:rRNA from 1 species